rnacentral:rRNA from 1 species
GACGAACGCUGGCGGCGUGCCUAAUACAUGCAAGUUGAGCGCUGAAGGUUGGUACUUGUACCGACUGGAUGAGCAGCGAACGGGUGAGUAACGCGUGGGGAAUCUGCCUUUGAGCGGGGGACAACAUUUGGAAACGAAUGCUAAUACCGCAUAAAAACUUUAAACACAAGUUUUAAGUUUGAAAGAUGCAAUUGCAUCACUCAAAGAUGAUCCCGCGUUGUAUUAGCUAGUUGGUGAGGUAAAGGCUCACCAAGGCGAUGUUACAUAGCCGACCUGAGAGGGUGAUCGGCCACAUUGAGACUGAGACACGGCCCAAACUCCUACGGGAGGCAGCAGUAGGGAAUCUUCGGCAAUGGACGAAAGUCUGACCGAGCAACGCCGCGUGAGUGAAGAAGGUUUUCGGAUCGUAAAACUCUGUUGGUAGAGAAGAACGUUGGUGAGAGUGGAAAGCUCAUCAGGUGACGGUAACUACCCAGAAAGGGACGGCUAACUACGUG